AACGAACGCUGGCGGCAGGCCUAACACAUGCAAGUCGAACGAAGCCUUCGGGCUUAGUGGCGGACGGGUGAGUAACACGUGGGAACGUACCUUUUGGUUCGGAAUAACGCAGAGAAAUUUGCGCUAAUACCGAAUGAGCCCUUCGGGGGAAAGAUUUAUCGCCGAAAGAUCGGCCCGCGUUGGAUUAGGUAGUUGGUGUGGUAAAGGCGCACCAAGCCUACGAUCCAUAGCUGGUCUGAGAGGAUGAUCAGCCACACUGGGGCUGAGACACGGCCCAGACUCCUACGGGAGGCAGCAGUGGGGAAUCUUGCGCAAUGGGCGAAAGCCUGACGCAGCCAUGCCGCGUGAAUGAUGAAGGUCUUAGGAUUGUAAAAUUCUUUUACCAGGGACGAUAAUGACGGUACCUGGAGAAAAAGCCCCGGCUAACUUCGUGCCAGCCGCCGCCGUAA
rnacentral:rRNA from 1 species